CUUUGCUUUUAAGAAUUUAAUGAGCAUUGGUGUUUCACCUGCAUGUGUGAGGUUGUCAGAACCUCUGGUGCUGAAGUUACCGGCUGUUGGGAGUUGCCGUGUGGGUGCUGGGAACUGAACCCAUUGGAAGUGCAGUCAGUGCUCCUAACCACUGAACAAUCCCUCCAGCCUUUCUCAAGGUCUUUAUGAGUUUGGCUUCUUGUGCUAGAGCGAUAGACUCAAGGGAACAAGGUCUGUUCUCUCAGUGGAUAGCCACGAGAGACUCGGAGUCCUGGCUCUUGACUAGAGUCUUUAGGGUCAUUGACAUCCAGAAUCUUCCACUUGAUGCUGGACAGGCUGAGAACUCUAGAAUUGAAGCCAGCCUGUGUCAGGUAGUGGUGAGGAACUCACUCAACAUGGCUGCUGUGGUACUCUCACCCCCACCCCAAGUUGUUCUGUGGUCCAAAGGCUCACUCUGUCCUCUCCUCUGAGAUGACAUGAUGACACAAGUUCUGGAGAGCACCCAAGACAGCUGGUCACCAAAGUGGGGUGGGAGGAAUGGGGUGAUGGCCUGCCUGGUGGUCAGGCCACUAGCCACCAGCCACUGCUGCUCCAGAAAGGCUCAGACCCAAAGAAUUCCCAGCCUGUCCCCAUGUGAAUAUCCCGUUAAAUAUCUAUUUGUUAUCUGUAAAACAUGGCUGCUGUUACAGCUCAGUCGGUUGAGUACUUUCCUAGCAUGUGUGAAACUCUGGGUUCAAUCUUCAGCACUACAUAAAACCAGGCAUGGUGGUUGUAUUAGUCUAGAGUUACAGAAUCUUGAAAUGUCUCUAUAUAUUGACAGGAAUUUAUUGGAAUGACUUAUGGUCUGCAGUCCAACUAGCCCAACAAUGGUCAGCGGUGAAUGGGAAGUUCAAGAAUCUAGUAGUUGCUCAGUCCCAUGAGGCUGAGUGCCUCAGCUGGUCUUCUGUAUAAGAAGUAUUUCCAACAGAGGUGCUAGGAGAUAAGUGCCACCAGGUAAUGAAGAAGGAACCCUUUCUUUUUCAAUCACCCUUAUGUAGGCCUCCAGCAGAAGGUAUUGCCCAGAUUAAAGGUGUGCACCAGCACUCCUGCACCUAAGCUGUUCUUUCCUUGGAGCUUGCUCUGUCCCAGACUGGUCUUGAACUCAGAGACCUUCUUGCCUCUGUCUCCUGGGACUAAAGGUGUGGAUCACCUUGGCUGGGCCUAAGCUUUUCAUGGCCACUAUACCUCAAUAACCAAAAGCAUGUGUCAUCCCAAGUCAAGAUCUGGAUCAGAAGCCUGCGUCUUCCAACCUAAAGAUCCAGAUUAGAGAUGUACCUAUUUCUGGAUUGUAGUUCAUUCCAAAUGUAGUCCAGUUGACAACCAGAAAUAGCCAUCACAGUGAUGAAUGCCUAUAACCCUAAUAUGAGGGAGGUAAAGGCAGAAAGAUCAGAUAUUCAAGUUAUCCAUGUCAACAUAGUAAGUCUGAAGCCAGCUUGAGCUUCCCUCUCCACACACACACCCAAUUUUAUUUCAUUUGUUUUGUUUUGUUUUGUUUUGUUUUAUUGGUUAAACAGUUGUCCCUCUACUGGUGUGGGGCAAGUGGACUGCGCCACCAGACAAAAGAACUGGUAAGGUUGAGUGAGCGGCUAACCCUGUGAACUCAGAAUUGAGUAAGGUAGGUAGGCGUGGGACCAGCUCUCUGCCAAACUACCUUCUCUGGACCAUGUAACCACAAUAACCGCUGAGAGGGCCAUGACACUCAGUCACGUAGAGGAAAUGCCUGAAGUCCAUCCCCAUGCUCAUAGGGCAUCACUAGCAUUUCAGAAUGAGCCAAUGGGAAAUGUCUACCCCUGGAUCCUACCCUCUUCUGUAACUUUACUUUUUUAAGGCUUAUUUUUAAUGAUGGUUCUUAAACAUUUUGACCUCCCUUUCAGUCCACCAUCCACCAGAGGUAGUGGAAAAGAAAGGAUAUGGGGUGUGUUUGGGGGUGGGUGGACCUGUUUAGAAAGGGUUCUUUGGAGCAACUCCCAUCGCCUAUCUGCAAUGUCUGGAAAUUGAUAGUUCUGUUCACAGGUCAAUAGUGGCAGCUCGAUCUACUUGCAAACAUUUUACCAAUAUACAGCAGUCCAGUUUGGUAGAGUGGGGACAGCAAAUGAGAAUCAGCAGCAGUGGCACUUCCCAGCAGAGACAGCCUCAGCACAAGACAGCUAGAGAGUCCAUGGAGGAACACCAGAAAAAGUUCUUGGCUGUGCCUCUCUAGCAAAGUGAAGAUCAGCAAAGACUCAAGACCAACAAGCCUUGCACAGCGAGCUCUGUCUUGGGUCAGCACGUGAGUCUGUCUCAGCUGACAUCACUCUGCCAAUCAGCCCCGAUCCGCAGAAGUGGCAAGAAGCCAUGCACACCACCAGACGUUUUUUGGUGCAUGUCUCUCUAUGGAGUCCUGACAAAUGCAGCUCAACUUGUCAGUGUAAGGCGGGCCAAUUCAUGCAUGUCUUUAGCAAAGAAUCCUUCAUCACGUGUGCUUUCACAUGCUUUCUUUAGCAGAACAUUCUUUCUCCUGUGUCUGCUUCAGUGAAGUGUUCCUUCAUGAGUUUGUCCCAGCAAAAAACCAUCCAACACAACUGACUUCCUAAAGAACUUUUGAGUUUCCACUUCACUACUCAAAGUCUAUAAAGUCUUUAUCUACGUGGAAUAAAGUGCACAAAUUAUUUUACUGAAA